rnacentral:rRNA from 1 species
UACCAUGGUGGUAACGGGUAACGGGGUGUUAGGGCACGACACCGGAGAGGGAGCCUGAGGAACGGCUACCACAUCCAAGGAAUGCAGCAGGCGCGCAAAUUACCCAAUCCCGAUACGGGGAGGUAGUGACAAUAAAUAGCAAUACGGGGUUCUUUAGGAUCUCGUAAUUGGAAUGAGUACAAUUUAAAUCUCUUAACGAGGAACAAUUGGAGGGCAAGUCUGGUGCCAGCAGCCGCGGUAAUUCCAGCUCCAAUAGCGUAUAUUAAAGUUGUUGCAGUUAAAAAGCUCGUAGUUGAAUUUCGGGGUCAGUAGGUCGGUCGUGCCACUGGUAUGAACUGGUUUUACUGAUUCCUCCCUCUUGAAGAACUGUAAUGCCAUUAAUUUGGUGUUGCAGGGAAUCAGGACUGUUACUUUGAAAAAAUUAGAGUGUUUAAAGCAGGCUUUAGCUUGAAUACAUUAGCAUGGAAUAAUGAAAUAGGACGUUUGAUCCUAUUUUGUUGGUUUCUAGGAUUGACGUAAUGAUUAAUAGGGAUAGUUGGGGGCAUUAGUAUUCAAUUGUCAGAGGUGAAAUUCCUGGAUUUAUUGAAGACUAACUACUGCAAAACCAUUUGCCAAGGAUGUUUUCAUUAAUCAAGAACGAAAGUUAGGGGAUCGAAGACGAUCAGAUACCGUCGUAGUCUUAACCAUAAACUAUGCCGACUAGGGAUCGGGUGAUGUUAAUUUUUUAAUGACUCAUUCGGCCCCUUACGGGAAACCAAAGUGUUU